AAUGGUGCAGCCAUUAUGGAGAACAGUAUGAAAGUUCCUAAAAAAUUAAAAAUUGAUUUGUAUACCUCCAUUACCUGUGCCCGAUUUGAAGAAUUGAAUGCUGAUCUGUUCUGUGGAACCCUGGACCCCAUAGAGAAGGCCCUUCGAGAUGCCAAACUAGACAAGUCACAGAUUCAUGAUAUUGUCCUGGUUGGUGGUUCUACUCACAUCCCCAAGAUUCAGAAGCUUCUCCAAGACUUUUUCAAUGGAAAAGAACUGAAUAAGAGCAUCAACCCUGAUGAAGCUGUUGCUUAUGGUGCAGCUGUCCAGGCUGCCAUCCUGUCUGGAGACAAGUCUGAAAAUGUUCAAGAUUUGCUGCUCUUGGAUGUCACUCCUCCUUCCCUUGGUAUUGAAACUGCUGGUGGAAUCAUGACCAUCUUCAUCAAGCGUAAUACUACCAUUCCUACCAAGCAGACACAGACCUUCACUACCUAUUCCGAAAACCAGCCUGGUGUGCUUAUUCAGGCUUAUGAAGGUGAGUGUGCCAUGACCAAGGAUAACAACCUGCUUGGCAGGUUUGAACUCACGGGCAUACCUCCUGCACCCCGAGGAGUUCCUCAGAUUGAAGUCACUUUUGACAUUGAUGCCAAUGGCAUCCUCAAUGUGUCUGCUGUGGACAAGAGUACAGGAAAAGAGAACAAGAUUACUAUCACUAAUGACAAGGGCUGUUUGAGCAAGGAAGACAUUGAACGUAUGGUCCAGGAGACUGAGAAUUACAAAGCUGAAGAUGAGAAGCAGAGGGACAAAGCGUCAUCUAAGAAUUCACUUGAAUCCUAUGCAUUCAACAUGAAAGCAACUGUCGAAGAUGAGAAACUUCAAGGCAAGAUUAACGAUGAGGACAAACAGAAGAUUCUGGACAAGUGUAAUGAAAUUAUCAACUGGCUUGAUAAGAAUCAGACUGCCGAGAAGGAAGAAUUUGAACAUCAGCAAAAAGAGCUGGAGAAAGUCUGCAACCCCAUCAUCUCCAAGCUGUACCAGAGUGCAGGAGGCAUGCCAGGAGGAAUGCCUGGAGAAUUCCCUGGUGGUGGAGCUCCUCCCUCUGGUGGUGCUUCUUCAGGGCCCACCAUUGAAGAGGUUGGUUAAGCCAACCCAAGUAUAGAUUUAGCAUUGUUCCAUACAUGUAAAACAUUGAAGGACCUAAAUUUGUAACAAAUUCUGUGGCAGUUUUUAAAAGUUCAGCUGUAUAGUAAGUUACUGGGCAUUCUCAAUACUUGAAUAUGGAACAUAUGCACGGGGGAAGGAAAUAACAUUGCACUUUAUAAACACUGUAUUGUAAGUGGAAAAUGCAAUGUCUUAAAUAAAACUAUUUAAAAUUGGCACC